CCUCCAUGAUGUUUCAAUAGAUCCUGCUGACCCUUCUCUAUGUACUCAGAAGGGAAAUGAGGAGAUGUAGUGGCUGAGAGG